UACAGGGGGGGCAAGCGGUUGUUCGGAAUUACUGGGCGUAAAGGGCCAGUAGGCGGCCAACUAAGUCCGACGUGAAAUCCCCCAGGCUUAACCUGGGAACUGCCUGUCAGACUGGAAGGCUUGAGACCGGGAGAGGUGAGUGGAAUUCCCAGUGUAGCGGUGAAAUGCGUAGAUAUUGGGAGGAACACCAGUGGCGAAGGCGGCUCACUGGACCGGAACUGACGCUGAGGCGCGAAAGCGUGGGGAGCAAACAGGG
rnacentral:rRNA from 1 species